AGAAACAAUAUGGUGAAGUUAUAAGGAGAGGGGAGGGGUGGGGGGCGGGAAAGAUUCCUUAGGAUAGAAAAAAAACAAUGAAGAAAGCUCCACUUGAAGACCUAUGAAAUUUCCGACACUAGAACCUUUGUAUAUAGUUUUCGGUAACCUUCGGCAGGGGGCGCUCUGAAAUUGUUGCCACUUUCCGGACAGCCUCCCGUACUUUACCCUCUACAAAAUUGCACAGUGUUUCCGGCCCUUCUCAGUUGUGGACGCUCAUCACUGGCGUUAUCCUUCUUGCAGUUGGCAUUUGGGGCAAGGUGAGCCUGGAGAAUUACUUUUCUCUUUUAAAUGAGAAGGCCACCAAUGUCCCCUUCGUGCUCAUUGCUACUGGUACCGUCAUUAUUCUUUUGGGCACCUUUGGUUGUUUUGCUACCUGCCGAGCUUCUGCAUGGAUGCUAAAACUGUAUGCAAUGUUUCUGACUCUCGUUUUUUUGGUCGAACUGGUCGCUGCCAUCGUAGGAUUUGUUUUCAGACAUGAGAUUAAGAACAGCUUUAAGAAUAAUUAUGAGAAGGCUUUGAAGCAGUAUAACUCUACAGGAGAUUAUAGAAGCCAUGCAGUAGACAAGAUCCAAAAUACGUUGCAUUGUUGUGGUGUCACCGAUUAUAGAGAUUGGACAGAUACUAAUUAUUACUCAGAAAAAGGAUUUCCUAAGAGUUGCUGUAAACUUGAAGAUUGUACUCCACAGAGAGAUGCAGACAAAGUAAACAAUGAAGGUUGUUUUAUAAAGGUGAUGACCAUUAUAGAGUCAGAAAUGGGAGUCGUUGCAGGAAUUUCCUUUGGAGUUGCUUGCUUCCAACAAGGACGAUAGGCCUGAGUGUGAAGUUAAGAGAAUGGAAGAGAAGAUAGACAAUGGAAUGCCAAUCUCAAAACAAAACAAUAAAAUGACCACUGUGGCACUGAGACCAAGGCAAGGUAUUACACUUAAAUCUGAGUUUAAAUGAUUUACAAUUGAGUGGGAAGAUUGUCCGGUGUACUGAGUUUACCAGGCUAUUUCUUAAUGUCACAGACCAGCCAUGUGACCCUCAUCAAAUCAUGGAGAGGCUUUUUCCCUCAGUUUUUCAUUUUACGGGGAUGACUCCACUCAGAGUGCUUAAGCAGAGACCAAUGAGAAAGCAGUGGAUUAAAAAAAAAAAGAAGUUACUUAUUCAAAAGGUAUAAGCUCUGGGCAAUUUAGUGACUGCCUUUUAUAAAAGAUAAGAUUGAGUCAGAUAGGUGAAUGGAUUCCUUCAAUGCCUCACAUUGUGACUUGAUUAAUAUUCACUUCUGAAAACUUAAAAAAUUCUACAAGAUGAAUAGAAUGUCGUAUUUUAAAAUGAGGAAAAAUCUGGAGUAAGAGAAGAUGUUUUUCUUCCUGCUGAUCUUCUUUCUUUCUAAAUAAGCGCCUUGGAUAUUAUCAAAAGAGUCAUUAGAAUGUGAGUGUGAAAGACAGAGAGAGACAAGAAAAGAAAUAUAUCAUUCAAAGAGAAUUUGACAUAAGAGCAGUAACUGUGGGGAGAAAAAAAAACUUCAGUGAGACGUGGUAAAGUCAAGCAAUUUGGGUGAAAAGAACAUGUGGCGCUGUGCAGUAGUAGGUGCCAAGGAGGAUAGGUGGAAAAUAGCAUGUGCCUGGCCAAAGAACUUUUCAAUUUUUUUAAAAACUGAGAACAGGAGGAGAUAAACGGACAGUCUCCAAGGUGUUCUGGAAAAUCAAUCACAAACAUCAUCUAGAAGCAGCUGACUUAAUUCAUUCUAUUCCUAUUACAAUAAAUCUGACUGGCAUA